rnacentral:rRNA from 1 species
AUAUGGGAUACUUAGUACGGCGAGUGAGCGGUAAAAGCUCAAAUUUGAAAUCUGGUACUUUCAGUGCCCGAGUUGUAAUUUGUAGAAUUUGUCUUUGAUUAGGUCCUUGUCUAUGUUCCUUGGAACAGGACGUCAUAGAGGGUGAGAAUCCCGUUUGGCGAGGAUACCUUUUCUCUGUAAGACUUUUUCGAAGAGUCGAGUUGUUUGGGAAUGCAGCUCAAAGUGGGUGGUAAAUUCCAUCUAAAGCUAAAUAUUGGCGAGAGACCGAUAGCGAACAAGUACAGUGAUGGAAAGAUGAAAAGAACUUUGAAAAGAGAGUGAAAAAGUACGUGAAAUUGUUGAAAGGGAAGGGCAUUUGAUCAGACAUGGUGUUUUUUGCAUGCACUCGCCUCUCGUGGGCUUGGGCCUCUCAAAAAUUUCACUGGGCCAACAUCAAUUCUGGCAGCAGGAUAAAUCAUUAAGAAUGUAGCUACUUCGGUAGUGUUAUAGCUUUUUGGAAUACUGUUAGCCGGGAUUGAGGACUGCGCUUCGGCAAGGAUGUUGGCAUAAUGGUUAAAUGCCGCCCGUCUUGAACCCACGGACCA